AUACGUAGGGAGCGAGCGUUGUCCGGAAUUACUGGGUGUAAAGGGAGCGUAGGCGGGAGUGCAAGUCAGAUGUGAAAUACGUGGGCUCAACCCAUGGGCUGCAUUUGAAACUGCAUUUCUUGAGUGAAGUAGAGGUAAGCGGAAUUCCUGGUGUAGCGGUGAAAUGCGUAGAUAUCAGGAGGAACACCGGUGGCGAAGGCGGCUUACUGGGCGUUUACUGACGCUGAGGCUCGAAAGCGUGGGGAGCAAACAGGAUUAGAUACCCUGGUAGUCCACGCUGUAAACGAUGAUUACUAGGUGUGGGGGGACUGACCCCUUCCGUGCCGCAGUUAACACAAUAAGUAAUCCACCUGGGGAGUACGGCCGCAAGGUUGAAACUUAAAGGAAUUGACGGGG
rnacentral:rRNA from 1 species